GCCCAUAGAGGCCCCCGUAGCGAGGGGGCGGAGCCCGGAAGGAAGCAGGAUGGCGGCUCUGGACAGUGACAGCGAUGAGGAUCUGGUCAGCUAUGGGACGGGCCUGGAGCCUCUGGAGGAAGGUGAAAGACCAAAGAAACCCAUUCCUCUUCAGGACCAGACUGUCAGGGACGAGAAAGGAAGGUAUAAGCGCUUUCAUGGCGCCUUUAGUGGCGGCUUCUCUGCAGGAUACUUCAAUACUGUUGGCUCAAAGGAAGGAUGGACACCCUCUACCUUCGUGUCCUCAAGACAGAACAGGGCCGACAAGUCUGUCCUUGGACCUGAAGAUUUUAUGGAUGAAGAGGAUCUUAGUGAAUUCGGGAUAGCACCUAAAGCUAUCGUUACCACAGAUGAUUUUGCUUCCAAAACCAAAGACAGAAUACGGGAGAAAGCCAGGCAACUGGCAGCCGCUGCGGCCCCCAUUCCUGGAGCCACGCUGCUUGAUGAUCUCAUCACGUCGGCAAAAAUGUCCAUUGGCUUUGAACUGCUGAGAAAAAUGGGUUGGAAGGAGGGACAAGGAGUCGGCCCCCGGGUGAAGAGAAAGCCGCGCAGACAGAAACCAGAUCCUGGUGUUAAGAUCUAUGGCUGUGCGUUGCCGCCUGGAGGCUCUGAAGGGUCUGAGGACGAAGAUGAUGACUACCUGCCCGACAACGUGACUUUUGCUCCUAAAGACAUCAUGCCUGUGGAUUUUACACCUAAAGAUAACGUACACGGGCUGGCCUACAAGGGCCUGGACCCCAGCCAAGCACUGUUUGGAACACCAGGAGAACAUCUGAAUCUUUUUGGUGGACCAUCUGAGGGGACCAGCCAUCUUCUUGAAGAUGUUAGAUUGAGUAAAGGAAGAAAAUUGGGAAUUUCUGGCCAGGCUUUUGGUGUAGGCGCUCUGGAAGAGGAGGACGAUGACAUCUACGCCACCGAAACUCUCUCCAAGUACGACACUGUGUUGAAGGAUGAGGAGCCUGGGGAUGGCCUCUACGGCUGGACGGCUCCCAAGCUCUACAAGAAGCAGAAAGAACCAGAGAGAGAUCUUCGAUAUGUUGGCAAAAUUUUGGAAGGAUUUUCCUUGGCUUCUAAACCUCUAUCUUCAAAGAAAAUUUACCCACCCCCUCAGCUGCCCAGAGACUAUCGACCGGUGCAUUAUUUCAGACCUGUGGUCGCCGCGACAUCCGACAAUGCUCACUUACUUCAGGUGUUAUCAGAGUCGUCUGGGAAAGCAGGACAGGACUCGGGGACGCACAGUCGGCAUCAGCUCAAUGCUUCCAAGCGGGGGGAGUUGCUAGGAGAGACGCCUGUUCAAGGAUCAGCUACUUCAGUGUUGGAGUUUCUGUCCCAGAAAGACAAAGAGAGAAUUAAAGAAACGAAGCAGGCAGCUGACUUGAAAGCAGCCCAGGCCAAGGCCAGGAGUCUGGCCCAGACCGCCUCCAGCCGCAGAGAACAGACCGCCAUGCCGGACCCUGCCUACAGCCUGCGGCAUCUGGCCCCGGGCAGUGGGACCGCCACCGCAAGGGCCAGCAACUUCAAGCCUUUUGCCAAAGAUCCAGAAAAGCAGAGGCGAUACGAAGAGUUCUUAGUACACAUGAAGAAGGGUCAGAAAGAUGCCCUGGAGCGAUGCCUGGACCCCAGCAUGACGGAGUGGGAGCGAAGCCGAGAGCGGGAAGAGUUUGCUCGGGCGGCGCAGCUCUACGUGUCCUCCCACUCCACCCUCUCCUCCAGGUUCACUCACGCCAAGGAGGAGGACGACUCGGAUCAGGUUGAAGUUCCCCGAGAUCAAGAGAAUGACGUCAGUGACAAGCAGUCAGCUGUGAAGAUGAAGAUGUUUGGGAAGCUCACCCGAGACACGUUUGAGUGGCACCCUGACAAGCUUCUGUGUAAGAGGUUUAAUGUCCCUGACCCUUAUCCAGGCUCAACGUUAGUCGGCCUACCCAGAGUGAAGCGGGAUAAAUACUCAGUGUUUAACUUCCUGACGCUCCCAGAGCCAGCCCCUCCACCCACAGCUCCAGCACCCAGUGAAAAAGCCGCCCAGCAGCGGGGUCCUGACAAAUCCAGGAAACCAUCACGAUGGGACACAUCCAAGCAGGAGAAGAAGGAUGAUUCCAUUAGUGAGUUUUUAAGUCAGGCUAGAUCAAAAGUUGGGCCACCGAGACAAGAACCCAGCGCCCCGGGAAACAAAGAGGAGGACCGAGCCCCGGAGCCACACCCAGACAAGACUGUAGACAAAGGUGUGGACACACAGAUGGACGGGGAAGGUAGUCGCCCUUCCAUGGAUUUAUUCAAGGCCAUCUUCGCCAGUUCUUCUGAUGAAAAGUCCUCUUCUGAGGAAGAGGAGCAAGACGACAGUGAAGAGAGUCAGGAGCACACUGAGGAGGCCAGCUUUAAAAGUGCCCCGGAGGCUGCCGCUGGGGAGACCUCUGUGACCCAUGCUGCUGAACCAGGGCCUUGUGAGCCUGCAACCCCCUUCCCCAUCCAAAAGGUACAGAUCGAUGAGCGAGAAGAGUUUGGACCUCGGCUGCCUCCCGUCUUCUGCCCCAAUACUCGCCAGAAACUUGAGACACCUCAAAAAGAGAAACCUAAGAAGAGCAAAGAAAAACACAAGACCAAGAAGGAACACAGACGGAAGAAAGAGAAGAGCUCUUGGUCCAUGGUAGCCGUCUGAAGGGAAAGAAGCUUGAGAAGAAGGACCGGUGACGGACUCCACUGUCACUGUCUCCUCCCUUGUCAUCCGUGUGCCUUUUCAGCUCAGAACCUACGUCUGGUUGGGUUAGUGGCGGGCGCCUGUGCGGCGUGCGCCUGUGUGCCCAGCUCAGGAGUAGAGUCCGUGAGAAGCUGCCACUGCUGGCCACAGGAGAAGGCAGGCCUGAGCGCCCGUGCGUUCUAAGCCUGCUCUUCAGUGACCUGCCCCUUCCUCUCUCUGCUGCGCUGAUGCCCCUCCUGCUGUGUGGUUUCAUUUGUCCAACAGACUAGUCAGAAGAAGAAGCACAGGAAGCACAGACACAGGAGUAAGCCGAAGAGUAAGAGGCUGGAGAAGAGCAGCACCUCCGACAGCAGCGACAGCAGCGACAGCGAGGAGGGGGGCGCCGCAGACCUGUCCCCCCAGGAGCUGC